GCACACGCUAACGUCCGUGUCCGUCUCUCUCUUCUGAGUGUACGCCAUUAGCUGGCUCAGACAAGUUCUCAGUGAAUGGAGGCUAUUGGUUGUGCGUGUUAAACUCAAGGGAAACGGACGUUUGUACUGUGCCCCAGGUUUCCCCUAGGCCUGAGGCCGGUAACACUAUUGUAAUUCUUUUCUUUGGUGCCGUCUGUGUUCUCCCCCAGGCUGGUCCAGUUCUUCAAUGUCCCGGUUUGUUGUCUUGAUGUUUUGUGAACAUUUGUGUCUGUAGUAUACUGUGGAUGUCCUUGAAAUAAAAUGUUUUUCUGUA